rnacentral:rRNA from 1 species
GACGAACGCUGGCGGCGCGCUUAACACAUGCAAGUCGAGCGGGAACCGGGCCUUCGGGCCCGGGGACAGCGGCGAACGGGUGAGUAACACGUGGGUAAUCUGCCCUCGGUACUGGGAUAGCCCGGGGAAACCCGGAUUAAUACCGGAUAGCCCUUCGAGCCUUCGGGCUCGCAGGAAAAGGUAGCUUCGGCCUCCGACCGAGGAUGAGCCCGCGGCGGAUUAGCUUGUUGGUGGGGUAACGGCCUACCAAGGCGACGAUCCGUAGCUGGUCUGAGAGGACGAUCAGCCACACGGGGACUGAGACACGGCCCAGACGCCUACGGGAGGCAGCAGUGGGGAAUCUUGCCCAAUGGGCGAAAGCCUGAGGCAGCGACGCCGCGUGCGGGAAGAAGGCCCUCGGGUUGUAAACCGCUUUCAGGAGGGACGAAGCCACUCGGGUUAAUAGCCUAGAGGGUGACGGUACCUCCAGAAGAAGCCCCGGCUAACUACGUGCCAGCCGCCGCCGUAAAAC